AGGAUCGUUCAAACACUGGUAACUGGUGAGAUGGCUCAGGCAAGGGUUGAGGGGAUAAAUACUGGCAAUAUAUUAACAGGCACGAUAAACAACGCAGGCAGUAGGAAAAGGCACAGAUGACGGGAGAUGGUAUGGACACGAUAAUACAGCACAGGCAAGCAGACAAAGCACAGACACUGGAAUAUGACGUCAGCGGUACACAGCAAGCAAGAGGGAAAACCUUGCAGGUGAAGGAGAUUAAAAAUGAAAACACAAGGCAACUAAGAUUAUAUUCACGCGGCGCAGGCAACCAGUUAAUUUAAAGGAGGGCUGAAACUUCCGCCGGAGGAUGCCACCUCCCAGAUGCGAGAGCUCCUAAUGACUUAACAAAAGAGGUUUCUACCACAGAUGAUGUUGGAAGCUUUUCUUUUAACUUAGCAUAGAAAACUCUGCCCACUGGCUCAGUCCCCAGGUAUGGGUGGACUGAACAGGUUAUGAAAAGAAGAAGAAGAACUGGAGGAAGAUGCUGUUUGCAUCUGGUGGGUAGGAGCUAGAGGACUGUGAACGAGGAAGAGGUCUGACUUUUCACCUCAGCCUCUGAAUGGUUCUAGCAUUCCAGUUUCACGCUUCCCGCUGCCUUCCACCUGGGAAACUUAAUGACAGUUCGCUUCAGCCACUGAAACUCUUCUCAGCUGGCUGACCAAGCCGAGGCAAAGUGAAGAAGACACGGGCAAGGCUGCCUUCCACUGAGACACUCCUGCUCUUGAACUAUGAACUCUGGGAAAGUACAGCAAUGGUACGAAGAUGAAAUUUUGCCUCUGACAGAUUAUCUGCCCCAACAUCUUAAAGCCAGGAUUCAAGACCGGCCAGGAGAUUCAGGGGUCCUCAGCAGCAGCUAUCCUUUUUGGACUGGUUCCCUUCUUGACCUUGUCUCCCUAUUCCUGGCUGGACAGAUAAUCUGUGCACGGUAGACGGAGGCACAACAGCUGGUGACAUUGGAACACCAGGUGAAGAGGGAGAGGCUCCCAUGGUCAUCACCCAAGGACUGCCUCAAGUAUAUUUCAUAUAAAGACAGAAAGCAAAAAUAUACUAACGCAAAUCAAUUUUAGAAUGAUGCUAUGAAGGCUGUUCUGAUUUUUCAAUAAUGUGAAGGGACAGCACCACAAAAAACAGAUAGCUCGAAACAGAGCUGGUUAAGUAGGAGGAGACUACACUCUUGAAGCUGGCCCGGGACAAAGCAGAGCAGUGCUGCGUCUAACAAAGGUCUCCUGGACGUUUGUGAUCAAAUGUGAGUGCAGGGGGAGACAUGGAGUCACACCUAGCACCAUCCUGUCCUUGACAGAGAAGAGGAUGCAAGCAGGAGGGGUCAAACUUCUUUCUCCUGCCUGGAACACCCUUAACCAAGAAGCCUAUUGGCUUCCUUGGCCCUUUACCCUCUUGGUGCUGCCCUUAAGACAGCCUUCUGACCAUACUCCAUUUGGCCGGAAUUCUGGUGUUCAGUCUCUGCUUUUUGCAUCUUUUCAUCCCCACACCUCUCAUAUUCUAAAGCAUUGCACGACUAAUUUACACUACGCUCUAAGCCCCCAGCUAGAGGGAAGCCCUCUAUGUUUACUGAUGUACCCCAGGCACCUGGGACAGGAGCUGGCACGUAGUGGGCACUCAGUGAAUACUGGCAGAGGAAGCACACGUGAAGAUCAGUGAGUAUGGGGUCUAUCAUUGUUAUUACUGACCUUUAUAGACAGAGCGAUGGGGACCAAGCGUGGGUAUGUGACGGUAAGGUUCAAGCCCAGGCACACUCCCCAUAGAUAUUUUUAUUCAUAUUUUAAAUGACGCACUCUAAUUUACCAUUUUAAUGUCCAUUUCAUACUCAGAAAAUAAGUCAUCACCACUAUCCCAUUUCAGAGAUAACUAAAACAAUUCAACUGGGGAGCUUGGAAAUGAACGGUGUCUAGGCUGUCUGUAGAUACUAAGUAAGCUAUCAGUCAAGAACCAGUCACUACCAACUUUAUAGCUUCUAGAAGUUUGUGAUGAUCUUAGACUCAAGAGGAGGAGCUGUAUUCCAGCACAGCCUAUGAAUUUUUAACUUACAUACAAUAACAGCAAGGUUUAUAUUUAGUAGCGAGAAUUUGCUUCUAACACUAUAUAAUUAAAAUUAAUUAUUUACAUAAAAAAGCACAAGCAGAUUUGUAGUCUAAAAUAUUCAAGCUCUCAUUUGCUGUUUAUAAAAAUAAAGCCAAGAAAGAAAUAGUGAGCCUCCAACUCAGUGAAGGUAGGUAGAAGGAGAUGCAAUAUUCCUCUAGGCUCCCAGACAGUUAAAAGAACUAGACUCUUCCGUCAGUGGCCCUUUCCAAGUGGAACGGCCUGGCUACCUGGAGUGGCAGAUAUUAUGGACACAAAGUAUAACCCUUUGAAUACUACCCAUCUGUAACUUACCUGCAAGACUUUGGCCAUAGGCAUUUUUCCCCUGUUAUAAAUGCAGUCAACACAUGUUAAAGGAUACUUGGAAAAUAAAAAGAUAUUUUCUGACUCUCUAAAAACUACAUUCUCCUCUCAAUUAGCCACUAGCAAUUCACUGUUGUCCUACCUGGCUCUCUAUGUGGGUGGGGGACUGUUCUUUCCUUGAACCCAGCAAGGACUUAAGAGGUCUGUCUCCUCUCUCCUGGGCACCAUCUUCCCUGCCUCUGGCUGUAGUGAUUAGGAGGAAACGGACCUGAUUUCUAUGUCUGUGUGCGUCAUGCGUUAUUUCUCAAACAACCCUGAGUCUGGAAUUUUCCAGGUGACAUCAGUACCCACGGCCUUGUGUUCGACCACCUGCCCACCGACACGGCUGCCUCGCAUCUCCUGAUGACUCACAGGUGGUCAGUAAACAGUUGGCUAAAUAAACAAAGAAAGCUUGGCGAGUGGAUGGAGUGAAGGCCUAAGUGUUCUGGAGCUGUGCAGACUCUUGCUUGAACCUCCCCCUUGCAAAAGAGAAGGAAAUAUUUCUGAGAUGACAACCUAAGAACCUUGGUGUAUCUGGGAACUUCUAGAACCAAUCUGGCCCAAGCUGCAGCUCUAGGAAGAUCAGAUGCAUGCUGAGUAAGGAGGCGGGAGCUGAUGCUGAUGUAUGGCGAAAACCCCGGGAUGUGUUUCCAGCAUAACCAGAUGAUAAAGCACAGGCCUGAUGGGGAGAUACAGCGACAGCAUGUCUGCGUGUCUCAAGUCCAUCUUCCUGCAGUUGUGCACGCCACUCAGCGAGGUGCAGCAGUGUCGCUGGGUAAGAGCAAGGUGUCUACGGUGCACAGCCAUCACUGACAGGGGAGAUGUGCCCUCGUGUGAUGUCAAACUCAACUUUUGUUAUUGACAACUGUUUUAGUUAUCAAUAGUAAAACAAUGGGUUCCAUUAUGACAUUUUCAUAUCUGUAUGCAUACACACACAUCUAACUACACACACACACACACACACCCUCAACCAUUUGUGCCCAUCUCUUGUGCCAGCUGUUCUCUUUGCUCAGCAAGCUUCCCCAGUAAGCUCAGUGCUCCCUACUUUCCAAAGCCCAGCUGAGUGCCACUUCUGCCAUGCAACUUCUUCCUCUUGGAGUCCUGAGCACCUCAGUUCCACCUGCCCUAUUGAGAGCUCUCUUGUGUGUGCAAUUCAUUCCCAAAUGCCCCGCAGCUCCCAAGGGUCUAAUACAUAGCACUGCCCAACAGAAAUGAAUGAAUCCGUGGCUUAACAAGUGGCUGGCAGUUGGCCAAAACUAACUAGUCUCUUAACUUUCAAUUCUAUUGACUGUAAUCUGUAUUAUACAAAAUGUAUAAUAUCUACUACACAUGCAUAUUUUAAUAACCUUGUUUUAGUCUAUAUGUACAAGCUAAUUAUUCUUUGGAUUAUUUCCAAGAGGCUCAAUGUUAAUAGGAUCUGUGUCUACUAGCGUUCCAACCGAGGCACUGCGCAUGGACAGAGAGAUGGCUUUGCUUCCUAAUUUUGAGUAGGGUUCAGUGUUGGCAAUGGAGGAAUGGGGGGGGGGACUGUUGUCCACUCUUAAAACACUGUUCAUUUGCCAACGUCACCCUCGCUCUGUCCACAGAAAUCCUGAAUGCCACUUUCCUCAUUUCCACCCACAGUGUGUAGAGCGGGCCAGGAGAAUCAACACACCCAGGACCCCUGCCACUCAGAACAACCAUCUAAUCCUGCUACCUGUCUCCACCAGGGUCUGUCUCACCAUGACUCACCUGUGGUGACGACGAGAUGGAAAGUCACAAUGUACAAUAGCUACAGAAAUACCACUUCCGCUACUGUUGGUGCCGAUCAUUAUUAGGAUUGUAAUUUAGCCACAGGUGUGUGGGGCUGCAGCAAUAGUCUAGGAUUCCGUGUAAUCUGUGGUGUGGCCUAGAAGGUUGAGGUGAUGUCGCUACAUCCCUUAUAAAUUCACACACUCCUGGGGAUUUAUGGCAGGGCCCCUACCCACUAGCUCUGGGUCAUAACUUUUAAUAAAAACAUUUUUUAGUGUCCAAAAUCUCAUUACAUCUGUCCAAUAUAAAAAAGCAAAUGGCUUCAGAACAUGAUGGAUGAAUUAAAUAAAUUUGAAAAACAGCCCGUGGUGGAGUCUCAUAAAAGCCUCACCAUGUCCCACAUAAUGAAACCGUGGGAGGACUUCCAGCAUAGGCGUGUGGCUGUCACCUUCCCGGUGACAGAAGAGGUGGCCUCUGGGGAGGUCCAGAGGUGAGGCGUGAUGGGGGAUUUCUGUACAUUCACAAGAAGUUCAGUCUAGGAAUCUAAGUGAAUACGUCUAGGAAUCGAGAUACAUACAUCCAGGAGCUGGUCAUGCCACCUCUUGGCCACAUGACUCUUUUUCUAAAUUUUCAGGUAGUGAUACGGAGCCAUUCUCUAAGUCUUGGAUGGAUGUGUAGCCUUGUUUGGUAUCACACACAAUGUAGACGUUCAAUAACUCAGUCAUUAUUUAGUAUCAUCUUCUCCUAUCUCUUGGUUCAUUUCAACAAUGUAUCUACAUGGGUUUUAUAGUGUGCCGACACUAUUGUUGCAAGGUGUCUGGGACUGGAAUGAGUAACCUUUAGUCUGUUCAUGGCUUGUAUCCUCCUUCUGGCCUUGUUCAUAGACCACGUCACCAGACCAUCUUCAUCCAGGUGUUAUCUCUGACCCCUGUGGUCCUCUGCCGUCUGACUCCGGCUUGGCCAAUGCUCCAGACUCCUCCUGUGUACUCUAUCUGGCUAGUGGAGAGGUAUUUCUAUGCAAUGCUCCCUUUCCCAGCUAAGACUCAUGUCGAGGACUCGGACUCUGGCCCCUUGCUUCCCACACACCCAGCACUUGCUUUUAUUCACACCUACUAUUGAGUUACAGCUUGGCUUAGCAAUUAUCUUCAAUUCUUGACUUUCCUUCAGGUAUUUUUUUCCCUAUCUACUUUGCAUUUCGCUCUUAAAAGCUCAACAGUGACAAGUAUACCAGAACCUGAUCAUCCUGAGAGGAGAUUUAAGGGACUAUAUUCUCCCACUCUUCCAGCAUAGUUGUACCCCGAUCUCCUGAAAGACACUGAAAUAAGAUGUCUUUGGGGAGCUUCCUUUCCCAUAGUAGGGGUAUGACGGCUCCACAACUGAGGGAUGGGGGGGGGAUCAGAUUGAUGGUACUCUUGCAGUAAAAAUGACUGUGGCUGAGAUAGGUUGUGGGCACAAACAUCAAAAACGAUGAAAUCAUAUUUAUAGCUGACAAGUCAGGAACUUGACAUGGUUUAUAAUAUAAUCUUGGGCCGCAUAACACAAUCCUGUAGGGAGGCGUUUACAAAACUCUAAGACCUGAGCCCCAGCCUCUGAUCUCCAAUUCUGCUGGAGGAGAGGGUAUAGGGGGUCUGUUUUUUGUUUACCAGGCUUCCACGGGUCCUCAGUGACUCUGACGUGCUGCUGGCUUUUCAAAUUGCUGUACUGGGGAAUGAAUUCUCUUCAGGAAUAAUCAGGGAGCAUCCUACUGGGAGAACCAAAGGCAUCUUGAUUGAUUAGGUAAUGGAUUAAUUAAUGCGUUCAGCAAACAUUGCCAGCGUAUUUCCCACCUGCCAGGACCUAGGCAGGUGCCGGAGACACAAUGAUGACUAACUAAUACAUGGUCUGUGCUCUCAGCAGGGCCAACAUGUGUGGUCCUCGCUGUCUGCAGUGGUCAGGAGUAUGUAUACGGGAGGGCACAAGGCUUUUAGGUCUAAACUAGGACCUAGGCCACGGCUGCAAAGGAAUCAAUUCGAUUAUCCAUUUAGAGGGCCCAGGAGAAAUGGAUUAACUUAAGUGAUUUGUAACUGUGCACAGGUAGGUAGUAUUAAGGCCACCUAGUGAUUGCAGGUACCCGCACGCAUGCUACUUUCCCGGGUGCGUGAUUUAACAAGCAAGGCACAUACUAAUUAAGACCGAUUCUCACUGGGGCACUAGCAGCGUGGGGCCCACACCACCUUUAGCAGAGAGGAGAUGGCCACUUUCUACUUCUUAGGAGACAGUCAGGAAAAGCUCUGCUCAGCAACCAAGGAAACAGUGCUGAGGGUGCCUGCAGGAUAGGUGUGCAGGGCUGAGGCUGCCAGCCGGAUGGGUGUGCAGGGCUGAGGCUGCCAGCUGGAUGAGUGUGCAGG